CAAGUCUAUCAGGGCGGUGCAGACGACAACAACAAACCCGCGGCAGGGAGGGAGCGUGCGACCCCUGCCCCGAGAUUAAUAGAUGAUUAAACCUGUUUGUAGAAGACUCCAGUGCAACACAGCAUCACUGGAGUGGAUGUGUCCGUCAUGCAUCGCCUCAACACAGCGCUGGUGAUUAUCGCUGCCAGCCUCAUCACCACACCCCUCACCACACACACCCUGCCCCAGCGCGAUGCCUCCCCUACGCUCACCGCAUCAUCACCGCCACCCACGGAGAAGUCAGACGUGCAGGAGACAACACCACUACCCACGACACCCACGCUCAUACCUGAUACCUCCCCCACUAACACCACGAUGCCCCCCACCACUGCCAUCACCACCACACCACCAGACACGGCUACACCUACCACUACCACCACCACUACGACAGUACCACCCACUACCACAAACACAACAACCAUUACUACCACCACUACCACACCACCACCAACAACAACAACCAAUAGCACUAGUAUAAAGCCCACUGUCACUACUACUACCACAACGCAACCACCUAACACCACGACUACCAUCUCCACCACUGCACCACCUAACACAACCAGCACCACCACCACCACAUCCUUAUUACCGGAGUCAACCACCACCUCGCCACCAUCGCCCGGACCCACAGACAACUCCUCCACCACUGACGUCACCACCACAGAGGCGCCAUCGGAGGGCCCCCACCGUGGCGCCUCCAUAGCCAUCAGCCUUUUUGCCAUAGUGACGAUGGUCCUAAUUAUUGGAGCGGGUGCAUGGUGGCUGCGGCGACGGUGGCAGCUGGAGCGCCUCAGACACCAGCUGAUGCCUGUGUAUAAUUUUGACCCCACCGACGAUGUGGACGACUGGGAGAACCAAUUACUGGAGGAAGAGAGAUCGCUGAGGCCUGAGGCAGACAAGGUCCACCUGUACUCUGGUAAUGCCACCUUUGAGGCCGGCCAGAAGCCCCCCAGCAGUGCCACUCCCAAGGAAUGACACUGUUGAGUCCUGAGCCGCCACCCACUCUUUGCUGUGUGAGUGACCUUUGUACAUACUAGUGCUGCUGCCUGUGCUGGUGCUGGGGGGCAGGAACCACGCAGCAGGGCGAGGUGCCGACGCCCUCCUAGUGCCAGCCUGAUUCUCACACACCCGGCCGGCACACCCACACACAGAGGGCGAGGGGGGGGGUAUCCUGGCACCACAGCCCCGCCGCCGCCGCCCGGAGGCCUCAGCACUGACACGUUGCCUUGUGAUUGGUGAUUGGUCCCUGCGAGGCUGCCGGUGGUUGUGUCCCGUGCAGCCUCUUUGUAAUAGCUCAUAAUGUGUUGUGUCCAGCCCUGGCGGGUCCCCUGUAGCCUCCACUGGCCCUCCCUGACACUGGCGGAGGCAUGAUUGUUCUACUUGUUUGCUUAGAUUCUGUGGGUCUGUAUUUAUUUGUUAUUUUUUACGUUAUUCUUCUACAGCUGUCCCUCAAAUAGUACGGUUUCCAAUAGUCCAUUUCGGUUUUAUACGGCUUGUCGUAGAAGAUCUUUUAGGGUUUUUAAAUUUCCUGUGCGUCGGGAAAUUUAAAAAUCCUAAAAAAUCUUCUUAGAAAAUCCACAUAAAACCAAAACUGAACUAUUGGAAACCGUACUAUUUCAGGGACAACUGUAUUUGGGCUGAGUCAAGUCUGUUUCAUUGAUUUCCUUAUACUCUAGGCACUUUAUUUAUUGUUUCUAUUUCUACUGUUAUUUAUACUAUUAUUAACUAUUUUUUUGCCUUAAGAAAGCAGCUCAAAGGCAUAGGCAUACAUAAUUCCUCCAGCCACUGUGUUGGGGCGGGGACAGGAGGAGGCUGUGGCGAGACCCGAGGGGCAGCUGUGAACGUGAUGAUUAGUCCGAGUAUCUGUUUACGUAUACCCUGUGGAGGAGGCAAUGGUCGUUCUGUCUGUGUUAAGAGGAGUGUUGGUUACUUGGCAUCACUGUGUUAGGGUUCCUUUGCCAGUUUGCUCACUCAUGUUCCCAGUUAGUUCUCAUGUCAGGAAAGAAAGGAGAAAAGAAAAUUAUGUGUAUUGCAUGUCAAGAAAAGAAACAGAAAGGACUACAUGUUUCCAGUUAGUUCUCAUGUCAGGAAAGAAAGGAGAAAAGAGAGUUAUGUGUAUUGCAUGUCAAGAAAAGAAACAGAAAGGAGUACAUGUUUCCAGUUAGUUCUCAUGUCA